ACGGCUCAGUAACACGUCGGUAACCUGCCCUAUGGUCGAGCAUAACCUCGGGAAACUGAGGGUAAUUCUCGAUAGAAGAUUCUUCCUGGAAUGGUGUUUCUUCCAAACACGUGCCAUAGGAUGGGCCGGCGGCUGAUUAGGCUGUUGGUGGGGUAACGGCCCACCAAACCUAUGAUCAGUACGGGCCUUGAGAGAGGUAGCCCGGAGAGGGACACUGAGAUACGGGUCCCAGCCCCACGGGGUGCAGCAGGCGCGAAACCUUUACAAUGCACGAAAGUGUGAUAGGGGGAUACUCAGUGCUUACGGUUAUGCUGUAGGCUUUUGUCGAUCGUAAAUAGAUCGGCGAAUAAGUGGUGGGUAAGGCUGGUGCCAGCCGCCGCGGUAACCCCAGCGCCACAAGUGGUCAUCGCGAUUAUUGGGCCUAAAGCGUUCGUAGCCGGUUUGGUGCAUCUCUUGUGAAAUUGUUCGGCUUAACCGAACAGCGUGCAGGAGACACGGCCAGACUCGAGACCGGGAGGCGUAUGAAGUAUUCCAUGGGGACUGGUAAAAUGGGAUAAUCCAUGGAAGACUACCGAUGGCGAAGGCAUCAUACGAGAACGGAUCUGACGGUGAGGAACGAAAGCUAGGGGAGCGAACCGGAUUAGAUACCCGAGUAGUCCUAGCCGUAAACGCUGCGAGCAAGGUGUCGCGCAUCUCACGAAGAUGCGCGGUGUCGAAACGAAGGUGAUAAGCUCGCCGCCUGGGAAGUACGGUCGCAAGACUGAAACUUAAGGAAUUGGCGGGGGCGCACUACAAGGGGUGCGGCGUGCGGUUUAAUCCAACUCAACGCGGAGCACCUUACUAGGGGCGACGGCAGGGAUGAAGAUCGUGCUGAAGACACUAUCAGACGAGCCGAGAGGAGGUGCAUGGCC
rnacentral:rRNA from 1 species